rfam:Candidatus Levybacteria bacterium RIFCSPHIGHO2_01_FTLL_37_33 rifcsphigho2_01_scaffold_63369, whole genome shotgun sequence.
CCCGGGGAUAACAGGCUGAUCGCAUCCAAGCGUUCACAGCGACGAUGCGGUUUGGCACCUUAAUUAACAUUGGGGCGCCUGUAGAGCAAUCUACAAAGCUUGGUUAUUCAUACGCAUUUAGAGUGUGCGUUGGUUUAAUAAAUUUACUAGUUAAUAUCGGUGGACACCUUGCCUUGAACAAGUAGGGUCAAUACCGAGGGAAUCCUUCGACGCAAAAUUAAUUUUUUGCUCAGGACCCGUAUCGACUGGAUUCCGUUUGGAAAGACGGAUGAAGAUAGAAGUUUAUUGUGCUUUGCGGAAAAUCUAUAACUUCUAUAAAAGACUAGCUCCUCCUACAUUAAAAUUACGGAGGAUGAAGGUAUAGUCAAAACUUUUGGUAACAAAAGAGGAAUAGAGCGAUGUCGGCUCAUCCUAUCCUGGGGCUGAAGAAGGUCCCAAGGGUCGGGCUGUUCGCCCGUUAAAAGGGUACGCGAGCUGGGUUAAGAACGUAAAUAUACAUUGCGUUCUAGCAUAGUAAUAUGCUACAAUAAAUUCGACUCAUAUCGGUGAAACCCUCCUAAGGUUUUUUUUGAACUGGCCUUAGAGGGCAACACCGAGGGAAGACGAAGAUGGUAGAGGUAACAAGGGCUUAUAUUGCUGGUUUUCUUGACGGAGAUGGUUCAAUCUUCUUGCAAUUAAUUAGAAGAGAAAGCUACAUUUUCGGUUAUCAAGUACGAGCAAGCAUUGUGUUUUAUCAGCAUCAUACGAACAAGAGAAUUCUUCGUUGGUUAAAACACAAAUUGAGAGUUGGCUAUCUAAGAGAUAGAAAAGAUGGGAUGGCCGAGUAUACGAUAGUCGGCUUAGAAGAUGUAAAACGAAUACUUCUUCUUGCCGAACCGUAUGUUCUCUUAAAAAGAAAACAGCUAAAAUUAGCCCUAAGAAUUAUUGAUCGACUUAAAGAAGGUAAAAUAAAUCCAGGUACAUUUUUACGAAUAGCAAAGGAAGUGGAUAAGUUUAAAAUAUUAAACUAUUCAAGAAAACGUACUAAUACAUACGUUCAAGUUCAUCAAUAUUUUCUAACUCAUCAUCUUUUGUCCCCGUAACGACUUCUCUGUUUAUCAGAGGGACUUCAAGAUUUACUUGAGGUAACACGUCGAGUCCUACUCUCGCUUUUUGGCGAGACAAGAGGAAUAAGGUAUAGUCUAUGCCAUUGGAAACAAUGGAUUAACAUGCGUAAGACAGUUCGGACUCUAUCCAGGACAACCGUUUGAGAUUUGAGGAGAUCCGUCCCUAGUACGAGAGGACUGGGAUGGGGGAAUCCCUGGUGUGCCAGUUGUUCCAAAAAGGAGCAUCGCUGGGUAGCUAGAUUCCCAACGGAUAACCGCUGAAAGCAUCUAAGUGGGAAGCCGCCUUCAAGAUAAGAUCUCGUGUCGCCGUAAGGCGACGAAGACCCCUUGUAGACUACAAGGUUGAUAGGCGGGCGGUGGAAGUGCCGUAAGGCAUUAAGCCUACCCGUACUAAUGGUCGAUUGUAGUAUUAAA